UAGAGUUUGAUCCUGGCUCAGAUUGAACGCUGGCGGCAGGCUUAACACAUGCAAGUCGAGCGGGGGAAGGUAGCUUGCUACCGGACCUAGCGGCGGACGGGUGAGUAAUGCUUAGGAAUCUGCCUAUUAGUGGGGGACAACAUCUCGAAAGGGAUGCUAAUACCGCAUACGUCCUACGGGAGAAAGCAGGGGAUCUUCGGACCUUGCGCUAAUAGAUGAGCCUAAGUCGGAUUAGCUAGUUGGUGGGGUAAAGGCCUACCAAGGCGACGAUCUGUAGCGGGUCUGAGAGGAUGAUCCGCCACACUGGGACUGAGACACGGCCCAGACUCCUACGGGAGGCAGCAGUGGGGAAUAUUGGACAAUGGGGGGAACCCUGAUCCAGCCAUGCCGCGUGUGUGAAGAAGGCCUUAUGGUUGUAAAGCACUUUAAGCGAGGAGGAGGCUACUUUAGUUAAUACCUAGAGAUAGUGGACGUUACUCGCAGAAUAAGCACCGGCUAACUCUGUGCCAGCAGCCGCGGUAAUACAGAGGGUGCGAGCGUUAAUCGGAUUUACUGGGCGUAAAGCGUGCGUAGGCGGCUUAUUAAGUCGGAUGUGAAAUCCCCGAGCUUAACUUGGGAAUUGCAUUCGAUACUGGUGAGCUAGAGUAUGGGAGAGGAUGGUAGAA
rnacentral:rRNA from 1 species